CACGUAGGGGGCGAGCGUUGUCCGGAUUUAUUGGGCGUAAAGAGCUCGUAGGCGGUUUGGUAAGUCGGGUGUGAAAACCCCAGGCUCAACCUGGGGACGCCACCUGAUACUGCUAUGACUUGAGUCUGGUAGGGGACCACGGAAUUCCUGGUGUAGCGGUGAAAUGCGCAGAUAUCAGGAGGAACACCGGUGGCGAAGGCGGUGGUCUGGGCCAGUACUGACGCUGAGGAGCGAAAGCGUGGGUAGCAAACAGG
rnacentral:rRNA from 1 species